UACGGAGGGGGCUAGCGUUAUUCGGAAUUAUUGGGCGUAAAGGGCGCGUAGGCGGCCCGGUAAGUCAAAGGUGAAAUCCCUCGGCUCAACCGAGGAACUGCCUUUGAAACUGUCGGGCUUGAGGCCGGGAGGGGGUAGCGGAAUUCCCAGUGUAGCGGUGAAAUGCGUAGAUAUUGGGAGGAACACCGGUGGCGAAGGCGGCUCCCUGGACCGGUUCUGACGCUGAUGCGCGAAAGCGUGGGGAGCAAACAGG
rnacentral:rRNA from 1 species